rnacentral:lncRNA from 1 species
GGGAGCGGACAACGGAGACCAGACCUACUGCAGCCACGCGGGCGAGCGGCUGUGUGGAUGUCGGCGAAGCCGCGGGCGAGGGCCUUGGGAACUCCAAGACAGAAUGGCCCGAGGCCUGGACACUCUCUGAGGACAUCUCUGCAAAGGCCCCAGCGGCCCAGGCCAGUGGGAUGCGGGCUGCUGGCCCUGUCCAGACUCUCAUACUGUGGGGCAGGGUUGCAGAGGCCCCUCCCUGGGUUUGCUCUGGGGUGGCAGAGAGCCAUUGUGAGUCAGUUCAGUGUGGUGGGCAGCGCUGUCUUGCAGCCCAAGGAAGCCGUCCUGGAGGAGGGAGCCUGACCCUCCAGCUGGGCUUGAAUGAGGAAGAGGCUAGAUAGAGGCCUGGCAGUGGGGCAGGGGUGGGGACUGUUUGUGAGCAGCCGUGUGGCAGGUAUGAUAGGAAGAAGGACUGGAGGGGUAGACAGGCACUGCCAUCCAUAGCCUGGAAAGUGUCACCAACAGGGCAGGAUUUCAUCCGAGAAGUAACAGGGAGGCUGGGCACAGUAGCUCAGGCCUGUAAUCUCCACGCUUUCAGAGGCUGAGGCAAGAAGAUGGCUUGAGCCCAGGCGCUUGAGACUAGCCUAGGCAACAUAGCGAGACCUCCACCUCUGCAAAAAAAUUUAAAAAAUUAGCCAGGCAUGGUGGCGCACACCAGUAGCCCCAGCUACUAGGGAGGCUGAGAUGGGAGGAUCUGAGCCCAGGAGGUUGAGGCUGCAGGGAGCUGUGAUUGUACCAGCACACUCCAGCCUGGAGGACAGAGCGAGACUCUGACUCUUUUUUUUUUUUUUUUUUUAAUUUUUUGAGACAGAGUUUCGCCCUUCUUGCCCAGGCUGGAGUGCAAUGGUGUAGUCUCAGCUCACUGUAACCUCCACCUCCUGGGUUCAAGCAAUUCUCCUGCCUCAGCCACCCAAGUAGCUGGGAUUACAGGUGCCUGCCACCACCCCCAGCUAAUUUUUGUAUUUUUAGUAAAUACAAGGUUUCACCAUGUUGGCCAGGCUGGUCUUGAACUCACGACCUCAGGGAUCCACCCACCUCAGCCUCAUUUAUAUUGAUUUGUAGGAGCUAUUUAUAGAUUCUGGAUACAAGUUCUUUAUCAGAUAUAUGGUUUGUGACUAUUUUCUUAUAAGUCUGUGGUUUGUUUAUUAAUUUUUUUAUUGAUGACUGUUUUUAAAAAUUGUGGUUAAGUAUACAUGACAUAAAACGGAUCAUCUUAACCAUUUUCAAAUGUAAAAUUCAGUGGCAUUAAGUACAUCCACAAUAUUGUGCAAAUAUCAUCACUACCAUCAACUCAAAAAGGGCAGGGCAUCCAAUACCCAUUAAGCUGUCACUCCCCAAUCUCCCAUUUUCCCAGCCCUGACAAUCACUAAUCCACUUUCUGUCUAUAUGGAUUUGCCUAUUUGGAUAUUCAUAUUAAUAGAAUCAACAGUAGGUCACUUUUUGUGUUUAGCUUUUUUCACUUGGCAUAAUGUUUUCAAGGUUCAUGCACUUUGCAGAAUGUAUCAAAAUUUCAUUCCUCUUUAGGGUUGGAUAAUAUUUCAUUGUAUGGAUAGACCACAAUUUGUUUAUCCAUUCAUCCAUUGGUGGAUAUUUGGGUGGCUUCCACCUUCUGGCUAUUGUUUUGUUUGUGUGUGUGUGUGUGUGUGUGUGUGUGUGUGUGUGUGUGUGUCAGCUCCUUUAGGGUCUGACUUUUGGGUAUUUUGAAUAGUACCUCUGUGAACCUUCAUCUACAAGUUUUUGUGUGAACUCAUGUUUUCAGUUCUCUUGGGUAUAUAUCUAGGAGUGGAAAUACUGGGUCACAGGGCAAUUCUAUGCUUUUUGAGGAGCUGCCACACUGUUUUUCACGGAGGCUGCACCAUUUUGGAUUCCCACCAGCAACAUAUGAGAACUCCGAUUUCUCCAGACCCUCAACAAAAUUUAUCUUUCAUUUUUUGAUUAUAGUCAUCUUCAUGGGUAUGAAGUGGUGUCUUAUUGUGGUUUUCACUUACAUUUCACUAAUGAUUAAUGAUGUUGAACAGAUUUUCAUGUGCUUUUUGCCAAUUUGUAUUUUUUCCUUAUAGAAAUGUCUAUUCAAGUCUUUUGUCAAUAUUUUCA